rnacentral:sRNA from 2 species
GCCUAGCCCCGAUUGAAGCAAUUGUUUGAGCUCCUUUUUAUUUUUCUUUAAAAAAUAAAAAGAGCGAGUGCGGAAAGCGGGAAAUAGC